rnacentral:rRNA from 1 species
UACGGAGGGUGCGAGCGUUGUCCGGAAUCACUGGGCGUAAAGGGCGCGUAGGCGGCGCGACAAGUCAACGGUGAAAGCUCGGGGCUCAACCCCGAGUCGGCCGUCGAUACUGUUGGGCUGGAGCACUGUAGAGGCAGGUGGAAUUCCGGGUGUAGCGGUGGAAUGCGUAGAGAUCCGGAAGAACACCGGUGGCGAAGGCGGCCAACUGGACCAUUUCUGACGCUGAGGCGCGAAAGCGUGGGGAGCAAACAGG